rnacentral:rRNA from 1 species
UACGUAGGCGGAAAAUUAAGUCAGUAGUGAAAUCCUGCAGCUUAACUGUAGAACUGUUAUUGAUACUGGUUUUCUUGAAUAUAGUUGAGGUAGGCGGAAUGUGUAAUGUAGCGGUGAAAUGCUUAGAUAUUACACAGAACACCGAUUGCGAAGGCAGCUUACUAAGCUAUGAUUGACGCUGAGGUACGAAAGCGUGGGGAUCAAACAGGAUUAGAUACCCUGGUAGUCC